GGCACACAGAUGAAAAAGUAGGCUAGAGAUUCCAAACUCUCAGGGUGGAAGUGAGGAUGGGAAAGGGGCCUCUGGUUCAUUACGAGAGAAAAGGCUAGAGCUUCUUCUAUCAGAGUGGUCUAUGUGUUAAAGGUGACCACCAUGGAGAGUGUCCCUUGUCUUCAGCAGCUGCUUGUCUGACUUCUUCAAUAACCUACCACCUCCAUGAACACUGAGACCAGACAGGUUUCGCUUACUAUUGCUUCCCCAGGACCUGGCACACCACCUGGCACGCAGUAGCACUGAAGGCGUAAACUUAAAAUGUGUUGCAAGUGAGUAGAAGUCUAAAGAAAGAGAAAUCUCAGAAGAGGGAGUUCACUGUUACCUUGUGCAAUUUCUAAAUGAAUAGCGAAGAUUUGAGCAUGGAGAUGUCAGUGGAGUAAGUCCAAUCUCAUUUAAGAUCAAUCUUAAUGAUCCAGAAAAAGAAAAACAGGCAACCUAUGGACUUUGGGAAGUCAGUCGAGGACACGGAUUAACGAGCCUCUUCCCUUCUGACCGGUCAGCACCUGCAGCCCAGGAGGAGGAGGAACCUCCAGUCUUUAAAUGGAAGAAGAAGCCCGGCAUCCUCCGUUGAUCUGUCUCCUGGGAAUUCGUCCAAAUAUUCCUUUGAAAGUUUCCCAUGCCUUCCAUUUAAAGAAAAGAUGCUGUCAUCUGGGUCACAUAUUGAGUCCACCAGAGCAGCCAGGCCCUUGUUGACUCUCGUCCAUCAAGAGGAGGUGUGCCUAAGGAAAUACGGGUGAGUGGAGCCAGGCGGAAAGCCCAGAGAUGAAGAAGUGACACUCCUCUGCCCCCGUGAGUGUGCUGCAGAGCACAUUAACUAUGUGGAGACCACAGUUCUUGCUGGGAGCCCUGUGAGGAUUCAUUCCCCCCUCUACUAACGUUGUUGAAAUCUGGGCAAGAGGUUUCCUGGUGCUGGGAAAGUGGCUUCACAUUAGACUCUUUGCCUCAGCUGGACUUUGGUAUCACCCCUGCCUCAGUAGCUGUGUUUUGGU